CACAAAUUAGGCAUUAAUUAAUGAGCACCUAAAGCCUUCUGCUGAAUGCACCCUGAGGAGAAGCAAUGCUGAGAGUGCUCAAGUAUACGUAAGGGAAAGAGCAGAUUCUGGUGAGACUGAACUUCAGGUGCUUAAAAUUCAGCGCGACUCUCCUCCCACCCAUCCCAUGAAGUAGUGACUGAAUCAUAGUUCUCCUGAAGGCAGAAGCUAUGUUUUUUCUGACUGGCUUUUCCUGUGCAUGCGACUGCACCAACUCGCUCCUUUAUAUGCUCGGCUCCUCCGCCCCCUCAGUGAGCACUCACACACUUGUUGCUCUGACAAGUUAUGAUUGCAGGAGCCAGGAAGUGUUUGUACCCAUCAGGGACAACCAAAACCACUGCUACAAAUGCAAAGAAUUGGGAUUUUGGCUCUAAGCUCAUCCCAGGGAAACGUCCCCAUUUGCCCUGGGAUGUGUGUGGGAUGCUGCAGCAGCACCCUGUGCGCUGAGCUCCCAGCUGUGGUGCUGGCAUCGCCUCACAGCAGCCCACGGGCGAUAAGAAGGCACGGGAAAGGAGCCUGGCCUCAUACACGGGUUGCUUUCCUCUGCCACUGUGCUGUUUCUUCUGCUCGGGAAGAAUGGAAACGCAGCGCGGGUUAGCAACGCACCAAGCCCCUCACGUUUGUGCGAGGGGCCUGCAAUUUUCGCAUUUAACACUCCGUUAGAGCUAAUGGAAAGCUGAUAUUUUUCUGUAGGUGUGAAAUUAACCUUUCAAUAAAACUAAGAGCUAUCUCAAGCAUUUUUUCCGA